rnacentral:lncRNA from 1 species
CCAGGUUUACUUAGAGGAGAACACGUUGCUUUUAAUGAAAGGGAUUUAAAGUCACAGUGCACUUUAAGGUGAUGACUUUCUGAAUGGAUGCUGUUUCAUGAGACCCAAGUUGCGAGGAUAAUUUACAUGCAGUGAUAUGUACAAAUCUUCAGUGAACGGGUUGAUGAAUGUUUACCUAUGUAUACCUACAUGUAAUCACUACUCAGAUCAAAAUAGGCAACCUGUUCACGACACUGAAAAGUUUUCUAGAGCCCCUUUUCAGUCAAGACCCAUUCUUCCAGUCAUCAGUGCAACUACUCAUAUCAUCAGUUCUCCCAAUGAUCUGGUCAGACAUGGUCUGAAAUUUAUCUUGGAUCUGCUGCAGGAGUUUCUGCACCACUGAGACCAACAAUUCAUCCUCUUGAGCUUCCUGGUCUUCUGACCAUCUUUGUCGUAUUCCACUUAGAGAGGAGCACACUCUUCCCAGUGAUCCCUGCAGAUACGUGGUGUGGUUGGUGUCAGGCCUCUGAGCCCAAGCUAAGCCAUCAUAUCCCCUGUGACCUGCAUGUAUACAUUCAGAUGGCCUCCAGUAACUGAAGAAUCACAAAAGAAGUGAAAUUUAAAUGGCCUGUUCCUGCCUUAACUGAUGACAUUCCACCACAGGAGAAGUUAAAAUAGCCGGUCCUUGCCCUAACUGAUGACUUCACCUUGUGAAAUUCCUUCUCCUGGCUCAUCCUGGCUCAAAAAUUUCCCCCACUGAGCACCUUGUGACCCCCACCCCUGCCCGCCAGAGAACAACCCCCUAUGACUGUAAUUUUCCUUUACCUACCCAAAUCCUAUAAAACAGCCCCACCCCUAUCUCCCUUCACAGACUCUCCUUUCGGACUCAGCCGCCUGCACCCAGGUGAAAUAAACAGCCUUGUUGCUCACACAAAGCCUGUUUGGUGGUCUCUUCACACGUAUGUGAGUGAAAGUUGAUACCAUUAAAUAUAUAUGUAG